AUACGGAAGGUGCAAGCGUUAUCCGGAAUCACUGGGUUUAAAGGGUGCGUAGGCGGCCCUAUCAGUCAGAGGUGAAAUCCUGCGGCUCAACCGUAGCAUUGCCUUUGAUACUGUAGGACUUGAAUCAGGCUGAGGUCAGCGGAAUGUGACAUGUAGCGGUGAAAUGCAUAGAUAUGUCAUAGAACACCAAUUGCGAAGGCAGCUGACUAGACCUGGAUUGACGCUGAGGCACGAAAGCGUGGGGAGCGAACAGGAUUAGAAACCCCAGUAGUCC
rnacentral:rRNA from 1 species